CAAGAAUCUUAUUUGAAGACAGAAAGCUAAUCUUAAUUAAUGAAUAGUUAAUGGACAAGAAUCCUAAAUAAGGAACACAAAAUUAAAAUCUAGUAAAUGGAAAACUAAGUGAAAUCCAAAAUUGAAUAAUAUUUAAAAUGCUCCUGCAUUAAUCUCCCCUAGUUAAAGAACAACUUGGCUCCAACGAGUAAGGUUGGAGAUAUUCUGCAUAGAUGUCUAGAUUAACUCAUUUUAG
rnacentral:misc_RNA from 1 species